rnacentral:misc_RNA from 1 species
CAAACUCCAAGCUGUGGCUUGAUGUUGGAUGCUGUCUUUUUUGAGAAAGGAGAGACACAUCUGGAACGUGUGGGCGCCGCCGCCAGACCACGAGCGUAGCAAGACGAAAGUCAAUCGUUCGAUUUGGAUCUGGCGGUGGUUGGUCGUUUUGGCCGUUGGUCAGUUCUUGGGAGUACGUUUCUUCGGAGUACGUUUCUCGGGAACAGAUCAAUGGAGUCGAUAAACCCAA